CGCGAACACAGCGCGAACCACGCCGCCCCGAGGGCUGGCGCUCAGGCCCAAUCUCGCGAGAGCUGGGCCUUGAGCGGCCGCGCCGGAACUGCGGCGGCGAGACUUGGCCCCGCGGCCCUGGCUCGCGGGGCUGUUGGCAGGUCCUCCUCCCUGCCGGAAUCCGCUGUGCCCGCUCGUCCGCACCUCUGCCCCAGUCACACCUCUACGGCCGGUCAGGUGGCUUAUUGAACGCCUGCGUUAGGUGCCAGGCCACGGAGUUGGAGCUGGGGACGCGGAAAUCAGUUAGUCGUGGCUGCUGGCUUCAAGGAACGCCCGUCCUAGCGAAGGAGAGAAACUUGUACAGACGGUGCGAUUAGGGUUUUAAGAGAGGUGUGGCCCGAAGGCUGCUGUGACCCAGUUGAGGGGGUGGUCAGAGACAGCCGCGAAAGGAAUCGGAGCAGUGCUUCGAGGGGUAGGAGUGCUUUGCGGGGAAGCAGAGGCCUUUCUAGGCAAAGACGCGGGCGGUGGAGAGUACGUGGUGUAGUGGAGCAGUGAGUGGCGAGUCCAGAGAAGGGGUCAUAAACCCAAAUGCCGACGGUGGUGGCGUAUAAAUCAUCUUAUGCAGGCUGGGCACAAGGAAACGAUGGGAGGCGCUAAGCAUGAACGAGGGAGCGAUCAUUUUCUCUGAAAGGAACGAUGGGUACUCAACAUCCGGCCAGUUUCCCUGGGAGAAGGAGCGCCCGGUGUUGAUUAUCUUCGCGCUUUCCAGGAAAAUACAGAAGUCUUGACGUAUGUGAACGUUCAAUCUCUAGAUGCUGGUAACUCGUUUUAAAUGCUGUAGCAGUGAAAGAAAAUGCCUCAGAAGAUUGGUUUCAGCCUGUGCGGAGGUUUUCAGCUUUUUCAGACGGAUUAUGUCUGUGUGGAGUGUGUGUUUAUGAAAAUCUGGAAGCUGGCUCAACUGGCUCCCCUUGGCUUGUACUUUCUACCACUGGUUCUUUUCACUUAAACUCCGAUGUGCUGAGAGUUCUGUAAUACUACUUUUGGCCUUUUUUAGUUUUAUGUGCGUUUCUCUUCUCUUAGGAGUUCGCAGCAGAGAACCUGUCUCCUUUGAACUAUGAAUUUCUAUGUGGUAGUAGGUACAGAGGUAGGCCCUGUAGGGUCAGAGAGGGUGAUUAAGAUAGUAUUGCUGACUUCCAAGUUCUUGGAAGUUAUACAUUAUAAUAAGAUAUAAUCGAGGUAUUUGUGAAAUAUGCGAGCAUAGAUGAAGGCAAAUUCGUUUCUUCUUGGAGGAGUUGAGAAGACUUCCCGUUGGAGCUAGACCACCAUAGGACUAAAAGUUUGGGAAAAAUACAGCAAAGCCAGAGAAAGGUCCGCGGGAGGAGGUGAAAGUGAUCUCACAGAAGGAUUGAGAACAAGAUGAAAACAUUAUGAUGCUUCACACUGAGCUGUUAAGAGGAAAUAUAAUUAUCAGCACUGCACCUGAAACUUUUAAUUGGGAACGCAGAGGAAAAGGAGAUCCUUCCACAAAAUAGCCAUGGAUGCUGUUGCCAGAUGUCCUGUCCUGCAUUAAAUGAUCCAUGAGUCUGAUCUGCCUGCUUGUUGAAACCUGGUUUUUGAAACGGCUUUAUUGAGAUAUAAUCCGCAUACAAUUCACGAAGUGCGAGGGGAAGGAGGAAGGUUGGAAAUCACUUAGCUCAGAAUCUGCAGUGGAAUUGCUACAGUAGACUCAAACAUGAUUUGAACAUCCCUAGCUGUGGGAUUUGGUGACCAGGCUCCUGAGGGAGGAUGACACAGCAUAGGGAAUGGCACGGACAGCCUGCCUUGCUUUAUAGAGAGCAGAGAUACAAAGUCCUUGUCGAGGUCACCGGUGCUGAGAAUACUCUUAAUGUAAAUGGACUUGGGUGACUUCCUUACGUGGAGCAAAUUUUCUCGAAGUAAUUCCGGAGUUGAGGUACUUUACGAAGUUUGAAACGAAUGCUAUUGACUUAAGCUUUCUUUUGGACUGUGGGAGCCCAUCAGCUCAUGGGUUGGAAGCU